GACGAACGCUGGCGGCGUGCUUAACACAUGCAAGUCGAACGGUAAGGCCCUUCGGGGUACACGAGUGGCGAACGGGUGAGUAACACGUGGGUGAUCUGCCCUGCACUUCGGGAUAAGCCUGGGAAACUGGGUCUAAUACCGGAUAGGACCACUGCCUGCAUGGGUGGUGGUGGAAAGCCUUUGCGGUGUGGGAUGGGCCCGCGGCCUAUCAGCUUGUUGGUGGGGUAAUGGCCUACCAAGGCGACGACGGGUAGCCGGCCUGAGAGGGUGACCGGUCACACUGGGACUGAGAUACGGCCCAGACUCCUACGGGAGGCAGCAGUGGGGAAUAUUGCACAAUGGGCGCAAGCCUGAUGCAGCGACGCCGCGUGAGGGAUGACGGCCUUCGGGUUGUAAACCUCUUUCAGCUAUGACGAAGCGCAAGUGACGGCAGUAGCAGAAGAAGGACCGGCCAACUACGUGCCAGCCGCCGCAGUAA
rnacentral:rRNA from 1 species